GCUAAGGCCACAGCCAUUACCUCACCAACUGCCCCUAGACCCCUAUAAAAUCUUUGUGCUUUUGAAACUCGCUGGCUCUCUCCGGCAUCUCACCGCUAUGUCUGUGCAGGGAUGAGCACACCAGUUGGCACAAGAUCUCAAUUUGGUUAAGUCAAGUCAAAAAUUCACAAAUGUCUACUUCACAUCCAGACCUUCUUUGACUAUAUCCAGGAUAGGGAAAUCAGGUGAUUCCACAUGUAAGACAAGUUCUUUUGCCAUCAUUACUCAUCUACUGCCUUCUCACUUUCUGUGAGAUGGAAGGUUGAUCUGGUUGUGCGGAAGUGAGAAAUAUGCCAUCUGCUCAAUUUUCUUUUCCAAGAAAAGGUUAUUGUAAGCUGACAUCCAAAGUAAAGCAAAGCAGAACAAAACAAAACAAAGGAAAACAAAAAGAGAUGAGAGAAAGAAAAAAAUAAAAAGAAACUCAAGACAAUAAUUCAGGUGCUACUUUUGGUCCCCACAUCUCAGUUAUCUUCAGUCUGCGAGGAAAAAAAAAGAUCUUAUUUUCUUCCUCCUUUCAAUCAUAUUCCUUUUUCUGCUUUUUCUUUCCUCUGUGAACCCCAUUCCACUUCCUGGAUCAUGGCAGUAAUAAAAUUAAACCUUUACCAAAGGUAAAUAAAGCUUGUGUUUUCCUCCUUGUACAAAUCUCCAAGGGAAGAAAUCUCUAAGUGUUUAGCUACCUGCUUAGAAUUUGUAUGUGUUUUAGAGGUAAGGGAAUAGAAAAACAACACACAUGAAUUAAUGUGGCAAUAAAUUAUCUUGUCCCACCUCUUUCUACCAUAUCAGAAGAUCAUAUUUUCUUGCUGCUUGAUAACUAAAUAUCCAACAUAUUGCUGCAUAUUUGUAUGUGAUCAGAAACAUCAGAUUCAGCAGGGGUCGACUCUAUGUAAAAUUGCUUUCCUGCUGCUCUGGGUUCUUGUGAAAGAAAACCAGUGAGUAAAUCAAUUCACUUUAAGUAUCUAUGAAUUUAAAGUGUUCACCCUUUCCGGGACAUGGACUUAUACACUGAGAGAAAGAAAUGCUGAACUCUAAGGAAUGGAGCUCUGUAGAUAUUUGGUAAGAUACUGUUUGAAGAAAGGAUCAAAACCACCAGAA